rnacentral:lncRNA from 1 species
CCCAUUCAGGAUGACCUGCAACCGUUGCAGCCUCCUUAAACUCUGCUUGGAGAUACUUGUCAUAGCACUGCAAUAUGGAAUAGGUAAUGUGCUUAAAACUUAAACCUGCUUAAUAUUUCCAGUAAGCCAUAGGAUUGUCAAAUUAAUAAAUCAGUCCCACCUGAAAUUCUCCAAUCCCUGGAAAAGCCCAUCCUUGACUUUCCGGAUAAGAGGGGUACCUGAGCUCUCCUGCAGGGCCAAGCCCUACUUCAAUGUCUAUAAUAAGUCCGGUUUCUAGAAAAUCCGACAUGUUCUCUCUGAAGCUUUUCAUGUAAUCGCUGUAUAUCUGUAUAACAGAACGAUUAACGAUGUAACCUUGAUAAAAUGAACGCUAGCUGAUGGCAUGAACAUUUUACAUGUUGAAAUCUUGUGAACCUUACCUCCACAGCAGUUCGUCCGUCAAAGAGACGCAGGUUAUCCACACCUAGAGUGAGGUAUUCCGGGUUCCUGUUACCUUUGAGAUUGGUAUAAAAGAUAUCGGGGUCUGAUUCUCCGAUCUCAAGUACCCAUUUGGAAAUGGGGAUUGUUACAACAUCUCCUACAUUCUUGAACUGAUUGAAACACGCUCCUAUAAGCACUCCAAUCAUACUGCUUAGGCCCUUUGGAUUCUAUGAUCCCCCACCACACAUCUAUCAUAACCCUAUCAACACCUGCCGCUCAUAGCUCCUUCAGAUCCUUCACGAGUUUGUCUCUGUCUUCCAAAACAUUGUCAACCGUAACAAAUCCCAACUGGUACGAAGACAAACCCAAAAAGAAAAAUUAGAACUUUUUGUGAUGAUCAUUAUAUUUCAAACUAUAAUGCAUACAUAAUGCUAGUGAAAGGAAGAAUUAUGACUUACAGGGAGCAUCACGAAGAUCGGCACAUAAUUUUUUAGCAUCGUUUCUUGAUAACUAAGAGAAGUUGCCACCUGCAUUGUUGUGUAAGAGAAGAUCUUUUAGGGUUUGAUUUCUCUAAAACGAUGGAGUUUAUGCAGUUUUACUACUCCAGCCUGCUGCCUUUUAUAGAACAUAUAUCACUAUCUUGAUGACCAAAAAAAGAGAUAAGCACUUCUUCUGCUGCACCUUAUCUUUGCACAAAUUAUUGGUAGCCCCAAUGGGGGGUCAUUUAUCAUCUAAAAUCCACAUGCUUAUUUUGUUUGCAUUCUUAUCUGCUAUUUGGACCACCUCUGAGAGUCUGAUACCAUAUAUAGCCCUCAAACAACUUUACAAAACUAGGUCAUAGAUGCAUCAUACAAGGAGCAUUAAGGUCAUUGAACUUACCUACAGCAUCAUUAAUCUUACAGUGAAAACAUAAACUUGCCCUCCUUUCAGCACAUGUUCUAGGCUUUUUAAAGAUUCAAACUCAUGGAUUGUUUUUUUGUUUGGUCAAUAUUUCAAACACAUGCUUCUUGUGUCUGUUUCAUGACAAAAACUUAUUUAUGCCAUGCGGCAGUAUCUCAAACCAACCACGCACUUUCUUACACGAGUUAUUGACUUAAGAUACCGUCACAAUAACCCCUUAAUAAGGAAGUUCUUCUCUUGUUGCAGCCCUUAAGAUUUUUAUGAAAGAAUUUGUAGAUGAGAAGAUUGUGAGGAAGUCAUUUACCUUUCGUUCUGUGGUGGAAAUUUCAGAUGCAACAGCUCGAGGACUUUGGAUUACACUGCAGGAGCGGAAAGCUGGGGCUGAACUGGUUCGUUGCCUCCAUACUCUACUUGCUCCCUCUGCACUCUCGAGCACGUUUGAAAGUGGAACAUGCGGGCAGAAGAAGCACCUACUGUGAUAAGCAGUUACUUUCUCUCCCAAACCACUGAGAGCUGUGCUUGUUGUCAUGGGGACUAUACGUAACGACGAUGCUACCACGCUGUAAUAUUAUGGAGCAGAAAAGAGUCCGUGCGACAUGAAGCGUGAUGUAGUAUGAAAACUCUGGUUUCUUGUUGCCUGCAUUGAUAUAUAGGUUAUGGUAAUGGAAGAUUUUCUAGAGAGUUUUGGUUGGAGAGGAAAAGAGAAGACGGUGGCCACAUUAUUUUCUGGCCAUGCUUAUUGUUGUCUUCUCCAUUUUUUGUGGACUUGAGAGCAUCUGUUCAAAGAUAGAAACAAAAAAUGCAUCCGAACAAGAAAAUAUUGUAUUCCUUUGAAAAG